rnacentral:misc_RNA from 1 species
GAUGAAGAACGUAGCGAAAUGCGAUAAGUAAUGUGAAUUGCAGAAUUCAGUGAAUCAUCGAAUCUUUGAACGCACAUUGCGCCCCUUGGUAUUCCGAGGGGCAUGCCUGCUCGAGCGUCAUUAUAACCCCUCAAGCUCAGCUUGGUGUUGGGGCCUGCUGCACUGGCAGCCCUUAAAAUCAGUGGCGGCGCCAUCUGGCUCUAAGCGUAGUAAUUCUUCUCGCUAUGGAGUCCUGGUGGAUGCUUGCCAUCAACCCCCAAUUUUUCUAUGGUUGACCUCGGAUCAGGUAGGGAUACCCGCUGAACUUAAGCAUAUCAAUGAGGA